rnacentral:lncRNA from 1 species
AAAACACUAAGCACCUUUAUCCAUUUUAGAGAAGUGAUUUCCACCACCAUGAAAAUAGAAGUAAAAGAUGUAAAACAAGAAAAGGGACAACAUAAGGGGUGUUCAAUCAGAACAUAUGUGUUAAGUAGCACAGCUCACAAAUUUUACUUGUGUACAUGUACAUUUUGUGUGUGUGCCUGAGUGUGUGCUGGUGGUGGCAGAAGAGCAUGUGUGUGUGCAUGUACCAAGAAGCCCAUUGUGGGACUCUGUUUUCUAUUUCCCUAUGUGAGUCUUGGAAAGCACCCCAUCUGGCUUGGUGCCAAAUGCCUUCCUAUGUGAGAUGCCCUAACACCUUGCUGGCUCAAAAUGGUUUUUAUUUUAAGGAGCUCAGCAAACAUUUCAAAUAUAGCUCCUAUUUAGUGAUAAUAUGCAUCAAUAUUCAGGAUGAAAAUUGCAAGGAAAUUUGAAGUGAAGAACCUUACUACACAACUCAUAAUAUUCAAGUAUAAAAUAAGAUACAUUUUAAUAAAAGUAUUUUUAGCACGUAUAGGGUUUUUUUUUAACAAUUUUCUUUAUAUUCAGACUCUUUAAAUAAGUCUAGUUGUAGGGACUCACUGUGCCUCUUGCGUGCAUGGAAGGCAGGUAGGCAGUUAUGCUCACUUCUUGUUUUUGCUUCUUGGAUUUUGUUCUGUGCAACUUUCAUUCAAUAUUUAGUGUAAAUGCCAGGACCUUGAAGUCUGGUUCUUGUGUUUGUGCAGCAAGCACUUUAUAUGCUGCACUACCCAAAAUCAGAGAUUGGAUAGCUCCAUUGAGAAAAUUUAAACUGAGUAAGUGUAUUUCAUUCCCUUGUAUUCUUAAUACUCGACUCAUUCCCUUGGAAAUGAAAAUCAUUAUCACUUACUAAUACAUCAUAAUAGUUUACUUUCUGAUUCCAGAAUUCUUUCUUUCAAUGAACACUGACACUAAUAUUGAAGACAUACAAGUCCCUACAGAAGUGUCCACACACAAACAGCAAGAAAUAACUGUCCAAGUGCACAAGAAACGAGAUUCAUUGCUGAAUAUGCUAAGACCUAUUUUUUAAUAGUUGCAUUAUAUUCCUUAGAUAAUUCGCAUUAUUUUCACUAAUACUGAACUUGAUUUAAUAGCAUAGUUUUGGUAACAAUCAUAUCAUUAUUUUUGUCCAUAUGCAUGUUUAUAGUAUUUUCAGAAAGUUUGCCUUUGAUAAUCACUUUUUAGUGCUUAUCUUUACAAUUACUUAGCAGCUAGCAUGUGUGGUUUUGAAGCCAACAUGAUUUUUUCACUACAUUUUCUCAGUAUUAAACUGCUUAAAUUAUAUUAUAGACCUGUUCAAUCAUUCAUCUUUAACUUGAACAUUGAGUACAUAUGUUGUUUUCAUUUUUAUUAUAUAGAUUUUAUCAGAUAGUAUCUUAACAUCAUUAUGCUUAUUUAACUUUUACUAUGAUGUGUGUAUUUCUUCAACCCUUCUUCUUAAGGUUUUAGUACUGUCAUGACACUUGCUCCUCUCUCGAAUGUUUCCUAAAGUUCAGAGAUCCAAAUUGCACCCAAUGUAUAAUGUAGAUUUUGGCACAAAUAUUACAUUCUUCUUGGUCUUUAUCAUGACCUUUAUGAAUUCUCCUUCUUUGCCUUUUCUACCUUCAAGCAUUUUGUCACUGAUACCCAAUGUCUAUACCUCUUUUAAGAGCUGACCAGUGUACAGCCUCCACUAGAUUUCAUACGGGCUGUCCGUGUGAUCACAGGUUUAAAUUCUACUGGGAAGCCUGCUGGGCUCACUUCUGGACACCAAAUUGAAGACAAUGACUGCUCCUCUCCUACAAUCUUAUAGUCCACAGUUCAUCAAUAUGGAUAGGAAACAUAUACUGCCUCUCAGUGCCUAACUUGACACCUCCAGUCCUUUUUAGGCUGAGUGCAUGUAACCUGUAAAUGAUAUGAUUAUUGUUGCAAAGGACAUGUGAUACUUGCGAGGGUGUCUUCUGGCUCUUAGAUUUCCUCUGUCCAGUUGUCCACUGUGUUCCCUAAACUUUAGAAGUGGUUAUAUAAAGGAUUUAAUUAGGGCUAGAUGGCUAACUCUUAGGCUUCUAAGCCUCUUGGGUAGCAAAUGGCAUUAACUGUUAUUUACUUCAGACAUGUUUCUGAUCAAACUGAAAGUAGAUUUUGUUUAUGGAUAAUAGUUAUGAAUAGUUUUGUUUAUGAAAAUAGUUAUUUAAAAUUUAGUUUGAAGCUAUGCAAAUUUAAUUAAUAUUAAUAGUAUGAAGUGCCCCCUAGGUCAUAUGAUGUCCCCGAGCAUAAUUUUUUUGGACUGAGGUUUAGAGUACUAGCUAUGGUUUAUCUCUUAUGGGUUAUAUCUCACAUCCAAUCACUGACUCGUUAGCUAUUUCUAUAAUGUUCAUUCUAUUAUUAUACAUAUGCACGUGUCUUCUCUGGAAUUUUGGUAGUGAUAUUCACUGGGGUUACAGAUGGUUAAGAUCAUGGAUGCCUUUUCUCUCGCCAGAAGCCUGUUUAGUAUAUUAUGACUCUGUUAUAUGUAACCAGCAAGGAGAAAUCUUUAAGCUUAAUUCUAUAUUUUGCAAGCAAGAGAUGUAGGGUCUUCAGCAAUGAGUUUCUGUAUCUGUUUCUCAUGGAAAAACAAGAUUAAUGGCUAGGGCCAGUAUUGGGGUCUAGGGAUAUAUAGGUUCUGAGAUAAAAAGUUAUAUAUAUAUAUAUAUAUUUGCAGAGACAUCCAAGUUUUUUCUUCAUAUUACACUGUUUCACAAGUCAAAAUACCUGUAACUGCAGCUUCAGGGAGACCAGAGCUCUGGUGUCCUCAGGCAUCUGCACUAAAUUGCACAGACCCGCACAGUGAUGCAUUCAUCUACAUGAACAUGAUAAAAAUAUAAUACAAUAAUACAUAUAAUGCAACAUAAUAUCAUAACAUAAUGAAACAUAAAAUAACAGCAAUGUAGUAUAUUACAAUAGAUGAUAUGAUGCAAUAAACAUCUUUUCAUUGUAGUUAUACUGCUAUCUGGGCUUGUAGGGUCUCACUAACCAAUAACUUACAUAACACUGAGAUUAUUGUUUAGAAUCUCUAUUGACAUAGAUUCAUCAUCAUUUAGCCAUGAAUAAGCCAUCUCCCUUCAAUCUUUCUUUUAUAUACUUAGUAGGGUACGAUCAUUCAUAUUUCAGCAGAUGUUCUCAGUGUCUUCUGUCUUCUGUGUUACCCUGUCUGAUUCAGAGACAUAACGAGUCCCAUCCUCUGCUUUUCACUGCACCCGGGUUUUAAUCUUGAAAACG